AUAGACCGUUGAGGUACAGCAGUCCCAGAACCUUGCUGCAGGAUGUGGACAAGCGAACCCUUUCUCCAUUUGGACAUUGCACCAAUAAGCUGGCCAGAGGAACUGACAGGGUUUCUCUGUGUAGCCCUGGCUGUCCUGGAACUCACUCUGUGGACCAGGCUGGCCUGGAAUUCAGAAAUCCGCCUGCCUCUGCCUUGCGAGUGCUGGAAUUAAAGGCAUGAAUGGGAACUAUGGGAACUUUGCAUUUUCUCUGAGAAGCAAAU
rnacentral:lncRNA from 1 species